CCUACGGGAGGCACCAGUGGGGAAUAUUGGACAAUGGGCGAAAGCCUGAUCCAGCAAUGCCGCGUGUGUGAAGAAGGUCUUCGGAUCGUAAAGCACUCUCGACGGGGACGAUGAUGACGGUACCCGUAGAAGAAGCCCCGGCUAACUGCGCGCCAGCAGCCGCGGUAAUACGAAGGGGGCUAGCGUUGCUCGGAAUGACUGGGCGUAAAGGGCGCGUAGGCGGUUUAUGCAGUCAGAUGUGAAAUCCCCGGGCUUAACCUGGGAACUGCAUUUGAGACGCAUAGACUAGAGGUCGAGAGAGGGUUGUGGAAUUCCCAGUGUAGAGGUGAAAUUCGUAGAUAUUGGGAAGAACACCGGUGGCGAAGGCGGCAACCUGGCUCGAUACUGACGCUGAGGCGCGAAAGCGUGGGGAGCAAACAGGAUUAGAUACCCGCGUAGUC
rnacentral:rRNA from 1 species